AUGACUCACAUCAAUACCGUUGUUUGGACGACCAAGGUCUCAGUGUGGGAAUGGUCGACUGGAAAUGUUCAUAUUCGUAGUGAAUCUCCUAAGGCGCUUGCUUCGUUGAUGAUGCUCAUCUCUUGGGAGUUUUGGUCGGAGUGUAAUGCUAGAAUCUUUCGCAACACGGUUGUCCCUUCUGUUGUCCUUAUUAGCAAGACUAAAGAGGAGUUGUCGCUGUGGGCUUUGGCGAGCGCCAAGCACUUGAGUAUUGUAAUGCCGCGAGAGUAG
rnacentral:rRNA from 1 species